GGGCCUGUAGCUCACCUGGUAGAGCGUGGCAUUCGCAUUGCCAAGGUAGGCGGUUCGACUCCGCCCAGGUCCACC
rnacentral:tRNA from 1 species